UACGUAGGGGGCAAGCGUUGUCCGGAAUUAUUGGGCGUAAAGAGCGCGUAGGCGGUCCGGUAAGUCGGCUGUGAAAGUCAAGGGCUCAACCCUUGAAAGCCGGCCGAUACUGUCGGACUAGAGUCCGGAAGAGGUGAGUGGAAUUCCCGGUGUAGCGGUGAAAUGCGCAGAUAUCGGGAGGAACACCAAUGGCGAAGGCAGCUCGCUGGGACGGUACUGACGCUGAGGCGCGAAAGCUAGGGGAGCAAACAGG
rnacentral:rRNA from 1 species